CUCAGGGAGGUAGUGACAAGAAAUAACAACACUGGAAAUUUUAUUUCUAGUGAUUGGAAUGAUGGGAAUUUAAACCCCUUUCAGAGUAACAAUUGGAGGGCAAGUCUGGUGCCAGCAGCCGCGGUAAUUCCAGCUCCAAUAGCGUAUAUUAAAGUUGUUGCAGUUAAAAAGCUCGUAGUUGGAUGUCUGCUGGAAGCAAUCAGUCCGCCCUAUUUGUAGGGUGUGCACUUGAUGAAUUCUGGCAUUUUUGUCCCAAUGAUGUAGCGGGGCGGUAGUAUUCGGUGAAAGCCGAGUAUCCUGUUCCGAUUAUUGGGAUACUGUUACUUUGAGAAAAUUAGAGUGUUUGAAGCAGGCUAAUUGCCUUGAAUACUGCAGCAUGGAAUASCAAUAUAGGAUUUCGGUUCUAUUUUGUUGGUUUCUAGGACUGAAAUAAUGAUUAAUAGGGACAGUUGGGGGCAUUCGUAUUUAACUGUCAGAGGUGAAAUYCUUAGAUUUGUUAAAGACGAACUACUGCGAAAGCAUUUGCCAAAGAUGUUUUCAUUAAUCAAGAACGAAAGUUAGGGGCUCGAAGACGAUCAGAUACCGUCGUAGUCUUAACCAUAAACURUGCCGACUAGAGAUAGGAAAAUGUCAUUUUGCUGACUU
rnacentral:rRNA from 1 species